CUGGGAGGACCAUCUCCUAAGGCUAAAUACUCUCUAGUGACCGAUAGUGAACCAGUACCGUGAGGGAAAGGUGAAAAGCACCCCGGAAGGGGAGUGAAAUAGAACCUGAAACCGUGUGCUUACAAGUAGUCAGAGCCCGUUAAUGGGUGAUGGCGUGCCUUUUGUAGAAUGAACCGGCGAGUUACGAUUUGAUGCAAGGUUAAGCAGUAAAUGUGGAGCCGUAGCGAAAGCGAGUCUGAAUAGGGCGUUUAGUAUUUGGUCGUAGACCCGAAACCAGGUGAUCUACCCUUGGUCAGGUUGAAGUUCAGGUAACACUGAAUGGAGGACCGAACCGACUUACGUUGAAAAGUGAGCGGAUGAACUGAGGGUAGCGGAGAAAUUCCAAUCGAACCUGGAGAUAGCUGGUUCUCUCCGAAAUAGCUUUAGGGCUAGCCUCAAGUGAUGAUUAUUGGAGGUAGAGCACUGUUUGGACGAGGGGCCCCUCUCGGGUUACCGAAUUCAGACAAACUCCGAAUGCCAAUUAAUUUAACUUGGGAGUCAGAACAUGGGUGAUAAGGUCCGUGUUCGAAAGGGAAACAGCCCAGACCACCAGCUAAGGUCCCAAAAUAUAUGUUAAGUGGAAAAGGAUGUGGCGUUGCCCAGACAACUAGGAUGUUGGCUUAGAAGCAGCCAUCAUUUAAAGAGUGCGUAAUAGCUCACUAGUCGAGUGACACUGCGCCGAAAAUGUACCGGGGCUAAACAUAUUACCGAAGCUGUGGAUUGUCCUUUGGACAAUGGUAGGAGAGCGUUCUAAGGGCGUUGAAGCAUGAUCGUAAGGACAUGUGGAGCGCUUAGAAGUGAGAAUGCCGGUGUGAGUAGCGAAAGACGGGUGAGAAUCCCGUCCACCGAUUGACUAAGGUUUCCAGAGGAAGGCUCGUCCGCUCUGGGUUAGUCGGGUCCUAAGCUGAGGCCGACAGGCGUAGGCGAUGGAUAACAGGUUGAUAUUCCUGUACCACCUAUAAUCGUUUUAAUCGAUGGGGG
rnacentral:rRNA from 1 species